CGUUCUCAUUCUUGUUAUCAAUGUAUAGAGAAAAAAAAAUCAGAAACCAAAAACCCUAUUUCUCUGGUACUCGUUUUCGAUCAAGCGUCAGAAACAUAAUUCCUCUGUGUUCCCCUGAAUCACAAAUUCUCUGAAUCGGUUGAACUCUUGCUCUGAAUCAAUCGAACUCUCGCUCCAAAUUGAUCAAACUCUCGCUCUGAAUUGAUCCAACUCUCGCUCUGAAUUGAUCAACUCUCGCUCUGAAUCGAUCUUAGAAUGUUCUCGUUCACACCAUCUCGCUUAGAAUCGAUAUUUCGAUAGUGUUCGAACUACGUUUCUCUGAAUCACUGCAUUCUCUGCCAUCUACAACAUCAAUCUUCAUUUUUUUCUCAAUAUACGGUUUUGAUAGCGUGUCUAACACUUUCAAUUACUUUUGAUAUGCUUUUUAGGGUUCCUGUUUCAGCGGUGUCUCAAGAGUCAAUCUUCACAAUCGCAAGUGAAGUAAAGUUGUUGAUGAAGGUCCUGUUGUUUAUGGGCCACAGUUAUUUUUUGAAUUUGAUUUUCGCCAUCGUCGGUUGGGGUUCUGCUUACACUGCUGUUGCAAUUCUUGCUUCUUUUCAAGCCGUCAGUUAUCACUGCACCACUUUCUGAACUCGGCGAAGAAACUGUUCACAAUUUCAUAAGACUAAAAUGGGUUAUGCACAGCUUGUUAUUGGUCAUGCUGACAGUGGCAAGUCUACAUAUUGCUCAAGUUUGUACCAACAUUAUUAAACUGUACGACGGACAAUACAUACUGUGAGCCUUAAUCCUGCUGCUGAAAAGUUUGACUAUCCUGUUGCGAUGGGUAAGCAGAAUGCAUUGUGUUGUGUGGCUUCUUCUUUUGUUACUUCAGGCUUAAACAUUAAAAAACUUGUUUAUUUUUCUUAAAUCUUAACUGCUUUAAUAGUUGUUGCCCUGUUUUUAUAAAUUUGUAAUUGGUUGUGGCAUCAUUUUGCCUUAAUUGGUUUAGUAACAGAACUCGUGGCUUGUGGAUGCUUUGAUGUUCAAGUUGGGAAAUGAUCCUUUACAUUUGGGUUUCUAUGACGAAGACGACAAUUUGAGUGUUUGUAACCCCUCCCGUUGCAAUAUGACGCGCUCAAGACUAUUCCUAGCCUAGAUGCAAAACUUUCUAAUAUGUCUUGGGACUUCAGCUGCACCAUCUCAACUACCACCCUAUGGCUUUAAGAAUGGUGAUAAGGAAUUCAAUUUAGUUUAUGGGGCUCUCACUGCUGCUAGUCUGCAAGUGAAGUGAUACAACAAUUGAAUUAGAAGAAUUAUGAUUUCAUUCCAAUAAAAGCAAGUGAGUCUUUCAAAAUUGUGUUGCUGUCAAUAGGAACAAGAUGUAGUGGAGACUCCAGGGAUUCUUGCUUCUUUGGAAAAGUUACUUUCAUUUAAUGACUAGGUACACUCAUAUUAGCUUUAGGUUUUGUUGUAUCUGCUGGUAAAGAAAAUGAUUAUCAUGUUGAAUUAGUUUUUCCAAGUGAUUGAUCUUCUUCUAACAA